rnacentral:rRNA from 1 species
GCAAACCUCAGAAAGCCAAUCUCAGUUCGGAUUGUAGGCUGCAACUCGCCUACAUGAAGUUGGAAUCGCUAGUAAUCGCGAAUCAGAAUGUCGCGGUGAAUACGUUCCCGGGGUCUUGUACACACCGCCCGUCACACCACGAGAGUUUACAACACCCGAAGUCAGUGGCCUAACCGCAAGGAGGGAGCUGCCUAAGGUGGGGUAGAUGAUUGGGGUGAAGUCGUAACAAGGUACC